ACACGUGGGUGAUCUGCCCUGCACUUUGGGAUAAGCCUGGGAAACUGGGUCUAAUACCGAAUACACCCUGCUGGUCGCAUGGCCUGGUGGGGGAAAGCUUUUGCGGUGUGGGAUGGGCCCGCGGCCUAUCAGCUUGUUGGUGGGGUGAUGGCCUACCAAGGCGACGACGGGUAGCCGGCCUGAGAGGGUGACCGGCCACACUGGGACUGAGAUACGGCCCAGACUCCUACGGGAGGCAGCAGUGGGGAAUAUUGCACAAUGGGCGCAAGCCUGAUGCAGCGACGCCGCGUGAGGGAUGACGGCCUUCGGGUUGUAAACCUCUUUCAAUAGGGACGAAGCGCAAGUGACGGUACCUAUAGAAGAAGGACCGGCCAACUACGUGCCAGCAGCCGCGGUAAUACGUAGGGUCCGAGCGUUGUCCGGAAUUACUGGGCGUAAAGAGCUCGUAGGUGGUUUGUCGCGUUGUUCGUGAAAACCCACAGCUUAACUGUGGGCGUGCGGGCGAUACGGGCAGACUUGAGUACUGCAGGGGAGACUGGAAUUCCUGGUGUAGCGGUGGAAUGCGCAGAUAUCAGGAGGAACACCGGUGGCGAAGGCGGGUCUCUGGGCAGUAACUGACGCUGAGGAGCGAAAGCGUGGGGAGCGAACAGGAUUAGAUACCCUGGUAGUCCACGCCGUAAACGGUGGGUACUAGGUGUGGGUUUCCUUCCUUGGGAUCCGUGCCGUAG
rnacentral:rRNA from 1 species